rnacentral:rRNA from 1 species
GACGAACCGUGCGAACGUUGUUCGGAUUCACUGGGCUUAAAGGGCGCGUAGGCGGACGGUCAAGUCAGGGGUGAAAGUCCACGGCCCAACCGUGGAAGUGCCUUUGAUACUGGCCGUCUCGAGGGAGGUAGGGGCAUGCGGAACUUCCGGUGGAGCGGUGAAAUGCGUAGAUAUCGGAAGGAACGCCGGUGGCGAAAGCGGCGUGCUGGACCUCUGCUGACGCUGAGGCGCGAAAGCUAGGGGAGCAAACGGG